GCACAGCAACGGGUGGAGCGUGCGGUUUAAUUGGAUUCAACGCCGGAAAACUCACUGGAGGCGACGGUUACAUGAAGGCCAGGCUGAUGACCUUGCCUGAUUUUCCGAGAGGUGGUGCAUGGCCGCUGUCAGUUCGUACCGUAAGGCGUUCUGUUAAGUCAGACAACGAACGAGACCCUCAUCUUUAGUUGCUACUGGUAAGUCCGCUUAUCAGGCACACUAAAGAAACCGCUGGCGAUAAGUCAGAGGAAGGUGAGGGCAACGGUAGGUCAGUAUGCCCUGAAUCCUCCGGGCUACACGCGCGCUACAAAGGCUAGGACAAUGGGCUUCAACACCGAAAGGUGAAGGUAAUCCCGAAACCUAGUCAUAGUUCGGAUUGAGGGUUGAAACCCACCCUCAUGAAGCUGGAAUCCGUAGUAAUCGCGGGUCAACAUCCCGCGGUGAAUAUGCCCCUGCUCCUUGCACACUCCGCCCGUCAAACCAUGCGAAUUGGGUCUGAGUGAGGAUGUAGUUAUUGCCACAUUCAAACUUAGGCUUAGUAAGCGGGGUU
rnacentral:rRNA from 1 species